AUACGGCCAUAUCUCGUUGAAACACAGGUUCUCGUACGACCAGCGAAAUUAAGCAACGUCGAUCCUGAUCUGUAUCUAGUUGGGUGACCACUUUGGAAUACCAGGCGC